rnacentral:sRNA from 1 species
UGGCAUUAUGGCGUGCAUCGCUGUAACGUCGGCCAUCAUUACUAUGGGCUGUUGUAUAUUGAUUGAUUGUGAUUGAUUGGCUUCGUGUGAUGCACCAGUUUAAAAAUAGGUAUGCUUACUCUGAUUAUCAGCAUGCAUGCAUCUGUGCGCACUCCUGCAAGAUCCCAGCACGAAAUAUCAUGGAUUGGAGGAGGAUUCUAAUGCUGGGGGUUUAGCCAAUUCAUCAGGCGUACUCCGUACAGGAAAAAGAUAAAUAUUAGAAUUCACGAAAGAAGCAACAACAAGCUGGCUUUAUAUAAGUUGCUUUAUUUCGCUACUCUACUGUGUAUAUAACCAUCGUGGACCUCGGAGCACUAACCAGGCUCCCCGAGUUACGGAGUACUAUUUCCAGGGAUAGUAAGCCCCCGAGUAUCGCCGCCGCAUGAUGGAAACUUUCGCUAUGGCUCCAGCCUUAAAAUUAUUUUAGGCAAAUUCACCGUUUUACCAGGACAAGAGCGCACUCCGUAGUAGUUGGUGACGAUUCGGAUUCGGUCUCUUCAUGGUUCGGCUGGUGAGAAUCACCUCUGCAAAUUCAUGCCAUGUUCAUUUGCUGCGUAGGCAGCCCCAAAAUGACGGUCUUCCAUCAGAUCGACUAACAUGGCACGAGUAUUCUUCGAAAUAACCGGCAAUCGUGAGUAUAUAUACAUUUACAUCUAUAUGGAUAAAAAUACAAUAACAAUGCCAUAAAGGCGGCAGGCUACAUACAACACAUGCGGCAUGGGAUGGUUGGUCGCGGCGAACAAGGUCGAGUUGGUAUCAAGCACCACGCAUCAGGAUCAAAGGAUGUCCGUUCUUUGCUACCGAAAGCAUGUCAUAGAGGAACCGGUGCGGACCAGAUGUGCUCCCCGAUCGCCUGCCCCACACCUCUCCUCUGAUGAGAGAGAGACAUGAUUUGUGCCAGUGCCAUCUCGAAUUUGGCUGUCAAGAUAAGAGGAUGUCGCGCACUUGGAACGUGAGUGUGGUCUGAUUUAUAUGAAAUGCCGUGAUCCUCUACACCUAAAAGUUAAGGUGGUACCACCCGGCCUCCCUCUUCAGAUGUCCUGUUGAACAAUGAUAUCACAUAUAUAUAUCAUAGGAAGUUCGGCAAGACGCAUGCAUCGAUAUUCCAGGUCAAAACCACAGCAAUCUGCUUAUUUGUUCUUCUUGUUUCAGAUAAUAAAAAGGGCACGUCCGAAUUCAGAAUUCUAGGAACCGGAGAACGUCCAAGGUGCUGGGGAACAUGCAGACGGACGGGGAGGCGACGAUUUACGCAGUACUUUUGGCAGCCAAACCGACUGCAUGUGUUCUGUCCAUAGCAGUGUUCAAGCCAAGGUUGCCAGUCCCAGUCUGUAAUCCCAACACAGCAAAGUUGUACAAUAUUGGAACGCCAGGAAGAUAGUUGGCUUUCCACUCAGCAGGCCUGUUUGCAGGGGUUCACCAAUCCUGCAAUGUCCAAAGU